CCCUUAACCAAAUAUAUCUUUACGGUCUUAUUUAUCCCAUCUAUAUAGCACAUAUUUGAAAUAAUAUGCAUUAAUCUACUGCUCUAGAUCCUCUGCCGAACAACCAACCACUAUUUUUCAUCUCUGUUGCCACAGAUUGAUUUUGUAGGCCUAUGAACCCAAAUAGAAUCGAAAACCAACUCCAGUUUGAGUCAAAGUGCCUCCCCAG
rnacentral:lncRNA from 1 species